rnacentral:rRNA from 1 species
UUGCCCUAGUAACGGCGAGUGAAGCGGCAACAGCUCAAAUUUGAAAUCUGGCUUCGGCCCGAGUUGUAAUUUGCAGAGGAAGCUUUAGGCGCGGCACCAUCUGAGUCCCCUGGAACGGGGCGCCAUAGAGGGUGAGAGCCCCGUAUAGAUGGACGCUAAGCCUGUGUAAAGCUCCUUCGACGAGUCGAGUAGUUUGGGAAUGCUGCUCAAAAUGGGAGGUAAAUUUCUUCUAAAGCUAAAUACCGGCCAGAGACCGAUAGCGCACAAGUAGAGUGAUCGAAAGAUGAAAAGCACUUUGAAAAGAGGGUUAAAUAGCACGUGAAAUUGUUGAAAGGGAAGCGCUUGUGACCAGACUUGCGCCGGGCUGAUCAUCCGGUGUUCUCACCGGUGCACUCUGCCCGGCUCAGGCCAGCAUCGGUUCUCGCGGGGGGAUAAAGGCCCUGGGAACGUAGCUCCUCCGGGAGUGUUAUAGCCCAGGGUGUAAUGCCCUCGCGGGGACCGAGGUUCGCGCAUCUGCAAGGAUGCUGGCGUAAUGGUCAUCAGCGACCCGUCUUGAAACACGGACCAAGGAGUCAAGGUUUUGCGCGAGUGUUUGGGUGUAAAACCCGCACGCGUAAUGAAAGUGAACGUAGGUGAGAGCUUCGGCGCAUCAUCGACCGAUCCUGAUGUUUUCGGAUGGAUUUGAGUAGGAGCGUUAAGCCUUGGACCCGAAAGAUGGUGAACUAUGCUUGGAUAGGGUGAAGCCAGAGGAAACUCUGGUGGAGGCUCGCAGCGGUUCUGACGUGCAAAUCGAUCGUCAAAUCUGAGCAU